rnacentral:sRNA from 1 species
GAACCUGCGGAAGGAUCAUUACCAAUGUAUGGGAUGUUUUACAUGACUCCCAAGUAAACACAUUCCUGUGUGUUAUCCUCUUUUUUUUUUAAGCUCUAUGUCAUUUUCUUGUCUGAGAAGGCCAUGUGCCAUAACCUCGAAAAAUGUUAAAACUUUCAACAACGGAUCUCUUGGCUCUCGCAUCGAUGAAGAACGCAGCGAAAUGCGAUAAGUAAUGUGAAUUGCAGAAUUCAGUGAAUCAUCGAAUCUUUGAACGCACAUUGCGCCCUUUGGUAUUCCUUAGGGCAUGCCUGUUCGAGCGUCACUAACAACAAUUUCACAGGGAAAUGUGGUGUUGGCCGAUGUGUGUCUAGCACUUUGCUGUGCUGGUCUCACUCGGCUGAAAUGGAUAGGCCAGAGAAGGUACAACUUGGCAAUAGACUCUCAGAGUAUUCACAAAUGCUAAACUAGUCUUUCAC